rnacentral:rRNA from 1 species
GAGUUUGAUCCUGGCUCAGAAUCAACGCUGGCGGCGUGCCUAACACAUGCAAGUCGAACGCGAAAGCCCCGCAAGGGGUAAGUAGAGUGGCAGACGGGUGAGUAACGCGUGGGUGACCUACCUUCGAGUGGGGGAUAACGUUCCGAAAGGGACGCUAAUACCGCAUGACAUCCUGCCUUUGAACAGGCGGUGAUCAAAGCCGGAACCGCAAGGUCUGGCGCUUGAUGAGGGGCCCGCGUCCGAUUAGCUAGUUGGUGGGGUAAUGGCUCACCAAGGCGACGAUCGGUAGCCGGCCUAAGAGGGCGGACGGCCACACUGGGACUGAGACACGGCCCAGACUCCUACGGGAGGCAGCAGUGGGGAAUUGUUCGCAAUGGGCGCAAGCCUGACGACGCAACGCCGCGUGGAGGAUGAAGAUCUUCGGGUCGUAAACUCCUGUCGAGCGGGACGAAAGAUCCGCGACCUAAUACGUCGCGGAAGUGACGGUACCGCUAGAGGAAGCCCCGGCUAACUCCGUGCCAGCAGCCGCGGUAAUACGGGGGGGGCUAGCGUUGUUCGGAAUUACUGGGCGUAAAGGGCUCGUAGGUGGCCAACUAAGUCAUGCGUGAAAUCCCUCGGCUUAACCGGGGAACGUCGGCUGAUACUGCUCUUCUUGAGGGAUGCAGAGGAGACUGGAAUUCCCGGUGUAGCGGUGAAAUGUGUAGAGAUCGGGAGGAACACCGGUGGCGAAGGCGGGUCUCUGGGCAUCUCCUGACGCUGAGGCGCGAAAGCGUGGGGAGCAAACGGGAUUAGAUACCCCGGUAGUCCACGCUGUAAACGAUGACGACUAGGUGUGGGGGGGUUCAGUCCUCUCCGUGCCGCAGCUAACGCAUUAAGUCGUCCGCCUGGGGAGUACGGCCGCAAGGUUGAAACUCAAAGGAAUUGACGGGGGCCCGCACAAGCGGUGGAGCAUGUGGUUCAAUUCGAUGCAGAGCGAAGAACCUUACCUGGGCUUGACAUGGCGGAAGUAGAAACCCGAAAGGGGGACGACUCGUUGAGUCGAGAGCCGCCACAGGUGGUGCAUGGCUGUCGUCAGCUCGUGCCGUGAGGUGUUGGGUUAAGUCCCGCAACGAGCGCAACCCUCACUCUAUGUUGCCAACGGUUCGGCCGGGCACUCUUAGAGAACUGCCGGCGAAGAGCUGGAGGAAGGGGGGGAUGACGUCAAGUCCGUAUGCCCUUUAUGCCCAGGGCUACACACAUGCUACAAUGGUCGGUACAGAGGGUUGCCAACCCGCAAGGGGGAGCCAAUCCCAGAGAACCGAUCUCAGUUCGGAUUGUAGGCUGCAACUCGCCUACAUGAAGUCGGAAUCGCUAGUAAGCGCAGAUCAGCAGGCUGCGCUGAAUACGUUCCCGGGCCUUGUACACACCGCCCGUCACACCACGAAAGCUGGCUGUACCAGAAGUCGCCGCGCUAACCGCAAGGAAGCAGGCGCCCAAGGUGUGGUCGGUGAUUGGGGUGAAGUCGUAACAAGGUAACC